AUUGAACGCUGGCGGCAUGCUUUACACAUGCAAGUCGAACGGCAGCGCGGGACAACCUUGCUGCGAGUGGUGAACGGGUGAGUAAUACUUCGGAACAUAUCCAGAUGUGGGGGUUCGCGUAGCGUAACGUACGCUAAUUUCGCCUACGACCUCCGACGGACUACGGGGGAAAUCAGGGCCUCUUCCUAUUUGACCCGCCGAUGUCUGAUUAGCUAGUUGGCGCGGUAAAGGCCCACCAAGGCGACGAUCAGUAGCUGGUCUGAGAGGAUGACCAGCCACACUGGGACUGAGACACGGCCCAGACUCCUACGGGAGGCAGCAGUGGGGAAUAUUGGACAAUGGGCGCAAGCCUGAUCCAGCAAUGCCGCGUGGGUGAAGAAGGCCUUCGGGUUGUAAAGCUCUUUUGUCAGGGAAGAAAAGGCGGAGGAUAAUACCUUCGGGUAAUGACGGUACCUAAAGAAUAAGCACCGGCUAACUACGUG
rnacentral:rRNA from 1 species